GACGUAGGGCGCGAGCGUUGUCCGGAUUUAUUGGGCGUAAAGAGCGCGUAGGCGGCCCGAUAAGUCCGCUGUGAAAGUCAAGGGCUCAACCCUUGAAUGCCGGUGGAUACUGUCGGGCUAGAGUCCGGAAGAGGCGAGUGGAAUUCCUGGUGUAGCGGUGAAAUGCGCAGAUAUCAGGAGGAACACCGAUGGCGAAGGCGGCUUACUGGGCCGAUACUGACGCUGAGGAGCGAAAGCGUGGGGAGCGAACAGG
rnacentral:rRNA from 1 species